rnacentral:rRNA from 1 species
ACGUAGGCCGAGAGAUAGGCAAAUCCGUCUCUCAUAUAAGGCUGAGAUCUGAUGCAUAGCCCUCACGGGCGAAUUCGGUGAUCCUAUGCUGCCAAGAAAAGCAUAGACGCGAGGUUCAAGUCACCCGUACCCCAAACCGACUCAGGUGGUCAGGUAGAGAAUACCAAGGAGAUCGAGAGAAUCGUGGUUAAGGAACUCGGCAAAAUGCCCCCGUAACUUCGGGAGAAGGGGGCCUGAGGCGUGAAGGGAUUUACUCCUGGAGCGUUUGAUGGCCGCAGAGACCAGUGGGAAGCGACUGUUUACUAAAAACACAGGUCCGUGCUAAGUCGCAAGACGAUGUAUACGGACUGACGCCCCCCGGUGCUGGAAGGUUAAGAGGAACGGUUAGCCGCAAGGCGAAGCUGAGAAUUUAAGCCCCAGUAAACGGCGGUGGUAACUAUAACCAUCCUAAGGUAGCGAAAUUCCUUGUCGGGUAAGUUCCGACCUGCACGAAUGGCGUAACGACUUCCCAGCUGUCUCAACCGCGAACUCGGCGAAAUUGCACUACGAGUAAAGAUGCUCGUUACGCGCAGAAGGACGAAAAGACCCCGUGACCUUUACUAUAGCUUUGUAUUGGUGUUCGGUGUGGCUUGUGUAGGAUAGGUGGGAGACUGUGAAGCUUGGACGCUAGUUCAGGUGGAGUCAUUGUUGAAAUACCACUCUGGUCACUCUGGAUAUCUAACUUCGAACCGUGAUCCGGUUCAGGGACAGUGCAUGGUGGGUAGUUUAACUGGGGCGGUUGCCUCCCAAAAAGUAACGGAGGCGCCCGAAGGUUCCCUCAACCUGGUUGGCAAUCAGGUGUCGAGUGUAAGUGCACAAGGGAGCUUGACUGUGAGACUGACAAGUCGAGCAGGGACGAUUCGGGACUAGUGAUCCGGCAGUGGCUUGUGGAAGCGCUGUCGCUCAACGGAUAAAAGGUACCUCGGGGAUAACAGGCUGAUCUUGCCCAAGAGUCCAUAUCGACGGCAUGGUUUGGCACCUCGAUGUCGGCUCGUCGCAUCCUGGGGCUGGAGUAGGUCCCAAGGGUUGGGCUGUUCGCCCAUUAAAGCGGAACGCGAGCUGGGUUUAGAACGUCGUGAGACAGUUCGGUCCCUAUCCUCUGCGCGCGCAGGAAAUUUGAGAAGAGCUAUCCCUAGUACGAGAGGACCGGGAUGGACGAACCUCUGGUGUGUCAGUUGUUCCGCCAGGAGCACCGCUGAUUAGCUACGUUCGGAACGGAUAACCGCUGAAAGCAUCUAAGCGGGAAGCCGGCUUCAAGAUGAGAUUUCCAUGACUUCGGUCGAGAGGCUCCCAGCUAGACUACUGGGUUGAUAGGCGGGAUGUGGAAGCGAGGACUAAAGACUCGUGGAGCUGACCCGUACUAAUAAGCC